rnacentral:rRNA from 1 species
GACGAACGCUGGCGGCGUGCCUAAUACAUGCAAGUAGAACGCACAGUUUAUACCGUAGCUUGCUACACCAUAGACUGUGAGUUGCGAACGGGUGAGUAACGCGUAGGUAACCUGCCUGGUAGCGGGGGAUAACUAUUGGAAACGAUAGCUAAUACCGCAUAAUAUUAAUUAUUGCAUGAUAAUUAAUUGAAAGGUGCAAUUGCACCACUACCAGAUGGACCUGCGUUGUAUUAGCUAGUAGGUGAGGUAACGGCUCACCUAGGCGACGAUACAUAGCCGACCUGAGAGGGUGAUCGGCCACACUGGGACUGAGACACGGCCCAGACUCCUACGGGAGGCAGCAGUAGGGAAUCUUCGGCAAUGGACGAAAGUCUGACCGAGCAACGCCGCGUGAGUGAAGAAGGUUUUCGGAUCGUAAAGCUCUGUUGUAAGAGAAGAACGGGUGUGAGAGUGGAAAGUUCACACUAUGACGGUAGCUUACCAGAAAGGGACGGCUAACUACGUG